GCACCAGGCGUUUCUACGGAAGAAAAUGAGAGAACAUUUUGUAUCGAAAUCGCAUGCCAUUUGUAGAGACAACGUCAUACAAGCUGAGCAGGAAGCCAUAACAAAAGCAAUGGAUAAGAUUUCUGAAAUGCAAUUUGCCACCACUUUUAAAAUGUUCAAAACUGUUUACAGCCUGGCAAAAGCACGCAGACCAAUUUCAAGCAUCGAGGAAUUGAUAGAAUUACAAACUGAAAAUGGACUAGAUCUGGGAGUAGGGUUGCAUUCAAGACUGCAGUUGUCAAAAUAGUUGAGUGCAUUGCAAACGAAAUUAAAACCCAAAUGUUUUCCAGCACCAUUGCACAGAAUCUGAAAAUAUGUCUGAUCAUUGAUGAAGCCUCAACAGUAUCCUGCAAACCAGUUCUGAUAGUUUUCUUAAAAGUUGAGGACUCAGAGGACCCACCAACAAUUUUUAUCGAGCUGGUUGAAUUGAAGAAACAAGAUGCAGGGACAAUACGUUCUGCAGUUUUUGAAAGUUUACAUAAGGUUGGAUUUACCUGGGACUACCUACAAAAAAAUGUAAUAGCGUUCUGCUCUGAUGGUGCCAGCGUUAUGCUUGGGAGAAAAUCUGGAGUGAGCACCAGAAAAGCCAAAGAGUUUCCAAAUAUCAUCAUAUGGCACUGCUUGAACCAUCGCCUCCAACUUGUUUUAGAUGACGCCAUAAAGGAAAUAAAGCAAGUCAAUCAUUUUAAAAAUUGUAUUGAUAAGAUAUGCUCCAUUUUCCAGCAAUCGAAUAAAAACCGAAUUGAACUUGACGAAAUAGCUGAAGAACUUGAUAUUAACAUCAUAAGGAUUGGUCGGGUUUUUGAGCCAAGAUAGGCUACCUGUAGUUUAAGGGCCACCAUAGAUGUCUGGCAUGCUUAUCCUGUGCUACAGCAAUACUUUCAUGCGAAUGCAAAAUACUCGGAUAUGGCUGCCCGUCUGGAAAAUAAACAUUUCUUAAAUGAUUUGGCAUUGAUGAUAGACGUUUUGGAAUAAAUUUCACUUCUUUCAACUGCACUGCAAGCACGCAAUACCGAUAUAAUAAAAGCUGAAAAAAUGGUGAGAAGAUCAAUAAAGGCAUUUGAACUGCUAACAAAGGGAAAGGGCGAAAGAAAGUUGAAGGACUAAUUACCUCAGAAACCUUCAGGAAUAUAAAGAUCAUAAAAAAUGAUCGAUUUGUUGGUCUUCAUCGAGAAAGACUUUUACAAAGUAUCAUCAAAAAUUGGGGUAAACGACUGAUGGACUGUGAGCAUUUAAAAACUGGGAACCAACUGCAAGACACCCAAAUAAACUACAGUUUCUACAGUUUUUGAUGCCAGAAUAAAGGGAUGUUGAGGAAAUAGUCCUUCCAUAGGCAGCAGCUGAAAAACAACUGCGCACAUUCAGAGACAUUUUCAACUUCAAAAUUGACAUCGAUGACCACAGAGAUUUUGUGGAGAAUAUCUUGAAAGAUCCGAAGAGGUAUGCAAUUCCUGAGAGUAUCAAAAAAGCAAAAGAUAUUGUCACAACAAUUGCAGCGAGUUCUGAGAAGUGGAAAGGGGUUUUUCUAAAGUGAACCUGAUAUUUCAGAGAGCAGAAGUCACCUAGCCGUUUCCAAUCUAACCAGCCUCAUGACCAUCAGCGUUACUGGACUAUCUCUUCCAAAAUGGGAUCCUAUUCUUGCAGUGAAAAAAUGGUUCAGAGAACACCAUCGCUCAGCCAAUGAUCCAAGCAUCAAGUGCAAGAAAAGUGGAAGUGAGGAGAGUGCCACUGAAAUAGCUAUGUGGAAACAUCUCAUAGCUAAAGACGACUAACAGUUUUAUGUCGUUAUUAUCCUUGGUGCAAGAAGCGUCGUUGAAGACAACACUUUUAUUGCUCUUCUUAGCUGCUUCCUUUAACCGGAAGGAUGAAAAGGCAACAGACUUUGACGGGUUUCUUGGCCAAGAAACCAAAACAUGAACAACAACCAGCAGAAGUGAACAAGAACCAUCCCCAGCGCCACAAGCACCACCACCUGAAACCAGACAAAACAGCAAAGCGAGUACAGAGUCACCCGCCGCAUCUGAAAUCUGAACCAUUCUUCCAGACGGCUGGACCAUGCAACAGUACAGCUACUUCCAAGAGAAACAUGACAGGUUGGAAGUUCAAACAAGAAACUAGGUUGUAAAUACUGUGCAGAACAUGGCUUCUCAAUGGAGAGCGGUAUUCAUGUAAGCAAAGAGUGGAAGCUUUUCAAGAUUGAGCCAGCUAGGAAAAAGAAGGAAGAGCACCAGGCGUUUCUACGGAAGAAAAUGAGAGAACAUUUUGUAUCGAAAUCGCAUGCCAUUUGUAGAGACAACGUCAUACAAGCUGAGCAGGAAGCCAUAACAAAAGCAAUGGAUAAGAUUUCUGAAAUGCAAUUUGCCACCACUUUUAAAAUGUUCAAAACUGUUUACAGCCUGGCAAAAGCACGCAGACCAAUUUCAAGCAUCGAGGAAUUGAUAGAAUUACAAACUGAAAAUGGACUAGAUCUGGGAGUAGGGUUGCAUUCAAGACUGCAGUUGUCAAAAUAGUUGAGUGCAUUGCAAACGAAAUUAAAACCCAAAUGUUUUCCAGCACCAUUGCACAGAAUCUGAAAAUAUGUCUGAUCAUUGAUGAAGCCUCAACAGUAUCCUGCAAACCAGUUCUGAUAGUUUUCUUAAAAGUUGAGGACUCAGAGGACCCACCAACAAUUUUUAUCGAGCUGGUUGAAUUGAAGAAACAAGAUGCAGGGACAAUACGUUCUGCAGUUUUUGAAAGUUUACAUAAGGUUGGAUUUACCUGGGACUACCUACAAAAAAAUGUAAUAGCGUUCUGCUCUGAUGGUGCCAGCGUUAUGCUUGGGAGAAAAUCUGGAGUGAGCACCAGAAAAGCCAAAGAGUUUCCAAAUAUCAUCAUAUGGCACUGCUUGAACCAUCGCCUCCAACUUGUUUUAGA